UGGUUUUGGAGGUGGCCUUAAUGCCACUAUCACCACUUCCUUCAAGAGUGAGGGAGAGGAAGAGGAGGAGGAGGAAGAAGAGGAGGAGGAGGAAGAAGAGGAGGGUGAAGGGGAAGAGGAGGAGGAAGAGGAAGAAGAAGGGGAGGAGGAAGAAGGAGGGGAAGGAGAGGAGGUAGGAGAAGAAGAGGAGGAGGUAGAAGAGGAGGGUGAGGUUGAUGAUAGUGAUGAAGAGGAGGAGGAAGAAAGCUCCUCUGAGGGUUUAGAGGCUGAAGACUGGGCCCAGGGAGUAGUGGAGGCCAGCGGUGGUUUUGGGGGUUAUAGUGUCCAGGAAGAGGCCCAGUGCCCCACCCUCCAUUUCCUGGAAGGAGGAGAAGACUCUGACUCAGACAGUGAUGAAGAGGAGGAAGAUGAAGAGGAGGAUGAGGAGGAUGAAGAAGAUGAGGAUGAUGAUGAGGAUGGUGAUGAGGUCCCUGUACCCAGCUUUGGGGAGGCCAUGGCUUACUUUGCCAUGGUCAAGAGGUACCUGACCUCCUUUCCCAUUGAUGACCGAGUGCAGAGUCACAUCCUUCAUUUGGAACAUGAUCUGGUCCAUGUGACUAGGAAGAACCAUGCCAGGCAGGCGGGAGUUCGGGGUCUUGGACAUCAAAGCUGAGCUCCUGGACAUAGCUGUGCUCCAGCCCAGAUGGGUGUCACCUGCCCAAGGCAGAGAACUCUGGGCAGCUGCUGGAGAUGGCUGGAGAAACCCAGGGCUUUCAGUAAUGCUUCGCCAGGCUCCAGGCUCCAGGCUCCGAGACAGGCCCAGGGGCUGAGGUCCGCCUCACUGCUAUUGCCUCUUUCUCAGAAUCCUCUUUCCUCCCCAUUAGUCCCUGGGCUCAGGGCACUGGAUGGGUGGGGAGCUGUCUGGUGCUACCACACCAUGCCAUCAGUGGGCUAGACUACAGCAGCAGCCAGGGUUGGGUCCUGGAAGCUCUUGGCCAGAGAGUGCCUCUCCCCCUGCCACCCAACCAGGUCUUUGGUCGGGGGAUCCCAAAGCCAUUCUGGAAAGGGCUCCAGAGGAAGGUCUAGCCUAGGCCCCCACAAAACUAGCAGCCCCCCUCCUGCAUCUCUAGGUUAUCUAAAGAAGCACAGUGUAACUUAGGGCAGGCUCCUGAGCCUGCCUCUGCCUGCCUUCCACCUCCCCAGAUCCCUUUCUCUGGCCCAGUCUUUGGCCCUUGGUUUUCUUUCCAGAUUGGAGGUUUCCAAGAGGCCCUCCAGGGGAGUGAGUGACAGCAGGCACCUCCAAUCUGGGUAGCUGCAGGCCUUUGUGCCUCAUCCUCUGCAGGCCCCCAUCCUGGGCAGAGGGGCCUGGGGCUGGGCCCAGAGUCCAGCCAUCCAGGUGCUCCUUUCCCAGUUUGAAUUCAAUAAAUCUGUCCACUCCCCUUUUGUGGGAGUGAAUGUUUUAACAGCCAA
rnacentral:lncRNA from 1 species